AGCUUUGUGUAUGGGCGGCAUCUUAGCCAAUGAGGUUUAUGUGAGGCAUGAUUAUUGCUAACUGAAAACUUUUCCCAUUUAGAUGUGGGUCAUUAUUGAUUUUUCUCAUCGAUAUUUCACUUUUCUCAAUUAUGCCCAUG